rnacentral:rRNA from 1 species
CCUACGGGAGGCAGCAGUGGGGGAUAUUGCACAAUGGACGCAACUCUGAUGCAGCGACGCCGCGUGAGGGAAGACGGUCUUCGGAUUGUAAACUUCUUUCUUUGGGGAAGAAAAUGACGGUACUCACAGAGGAAUCUCCGGCUACCUACGUGCAAGCAGCCGCGGUAAUACGUAGGGAGCGAGCGUUGUCGGACAUUACUGGGGGUAAUGGGAGCGUUGGCGGGCGGGAAAGUUGAAUGUUAAAUCUACCGGCUAAACUGGUAGCUGCGUUCAAAACUGCUUGUCUUGAGUGAAGUAGAGGCAGGCGGAAUUCCUAGUGUAGCGGUGAAAUGCGUAGAUAUUAGGAGGAACACCAGUGGCGAAGGCGGCCUGCUGGGCUUUAACUGACGCUGAGGCGCGAAAGCGUGGGGAGCAAACAGGAUUAGAUACCCCAGUAGUC